GCAAGUUGAGCGGAAAGGCCCCUUCUGGGGUACUCGAGCGGCGAACGGGUGAGUAACACGUGGGUAAUCUGCCCUGGACACAGGAAUAACCAGUGGAAACGCUGGCUAAUGCCUGAUGACGUGCCGGCCCCUCGGGGCUGUCACCAAAGGUAGCUUCGGCCUCCGGUCCGGGAUGAGCCCGCGGCCCAUAAGCUUGUUGGCGGGGUAACGGCCCACCAAGGCGACGAUGGGUAGCUGGUCUGAGAGGACGAUCAGCCACACUGGGACUGAGACACGGCCCAGACUCCUACGGGAGGCAGCAGUGGGGAAUCUUGCGCAAUGGGCGGAAGCCUGACGCAGCAACGCCGCGUGCGGGAAGAAGGCCUUCGGGUUGUAAACCGCUUUCAGCAGGGACGAAGGCGAGCGGGUUAAUAGCCCGUCAGUUGACUGUACCUGCAGAAGAAGGUCCGGCUAACUACGUGCCAGCAGCCCGCGG
rnacentral:rRNA from 1 species